CUAAUACCGGAUAACACUCUGUCCCGCAUGGGACGGGGUUAAAAGCUCCGGCGGUGAAGGAUGAGCCCGCGGCCUAUCAGCUUGUUGGUGGGGUGAUGGCCUACCAAGGCGACGACGGGUAGCCGGCCUGAGAGGGCGACCGGCCACACUGGGACUGAGACACGGCCCAGACUCCUACGGGAGGCAGCAGUGGGGAAUAUUGCACAAUGGGCGAAAGCCUGAUGCAGCGACGCCGCGUGAGGGAUGACGGCCUUCGGGUUGUAAACCUCUUUCAGCAGGGAAGAAGCGAAAGUGACGGUACCUGCAGAAGAAGCGCCGGCUAACUACGUGCCAGCAGCCGCGGUAAUACGUAGGGCGCAAGCGUUGUCCGGAAUUAUUGGGCGUAAAGAGCUCGUAGGCGGCUUGUCRCGUCGGAUGUGAAAGCCCGGGGCUUAACCCCGGGUCUGCAUUCGAUACGGGCUAGCUAGAGUGUGGUAGGGG
rnacentral:rRNA from 1 species